AAAGUCGUAACAAGGUCUCCGUAGGUGAACCUGCGGAGGGAUCAUUAACACGUUUUAAAACACGUUUUAACCAACCAACCAACCACGUGAACUAUUUAACACUCCUGGAAGAAAAGAAUUCUGUCUCUUCACACUAAUGAUGAGCUCUCGCAAGAGAGCGGUGUGUCUAGACUAGCAUGGCUGUUCUACACAUUAAAACCGUGUCUUGCAUACCUGUACAGACCUUUUCUUUUGGGCUAAAUGCUUCUCUCAUCACUGGAGCGAAAACACCCCUUUCACCACUUCUAUAACUAUUGACUGAUCUUUUUCUUUGCAACAUAAGAAAAAACUAAACUAAAUAUCUAAGCACAACUCUUAGCAACGGAUAUCUUGGUUCUC
rnacentral:misc_RNA from 1 species